CUUGUGAAGAAGGAGCUCAAGGCAACACAAACAGUAACCUUUUACACCCCUGGCCGUGUCACAGGCCUGCUGAAUACACACUCAUCCAGUUAGUCCCAAGAGGGGCCAGCAGGGAGACACACAACUCAUGGCCUAGAACUCGGGCUGGACUCCCGGACUUCCUGCUUUGCAGUCUCAGCUCCACACCCCCUAGCUGCAUGACGCCGGG
rnacentral:lncRNA from 1 species